UACAGAGGAGCCAAGCGUUGUCCGGAUUGACUGGGCGUAAAGCGCACGCAGGCGGAUGCGCGCGUGGGGUGUGAAAUCUGGCCGCUUAACGGCCAGGCGCCAUCCCAUACGGCGCGUCUGGAGUGAUGCAGAGGUCGAUGGAAUUGCCGGUGUAGUGGUGAAAUGCGUAGAGAUCGGCAGGAACACCCAGGGGGAAACCAGUCGACUGGGCAUCUACUGACGCUGAGGUGCGUGAGCGUGGGGAGCGAACCGG
rnacentral:rRNA from 1 species